AUACGGAGGGGGCUAGCGUUGUUCGGAAUUACUGGGCGUAAAGCGCACGUAGGCGGAUUAAAAAGUUAGAGGUGAAAUCCCAGGGCUUAACACUGGAACUGCCUUUAAAACUAGUAGUCUAGAGUUCGAGAGAGGUGAGUGGAAUUCCAAGUGUAGAGGUGAAAUUCGUAGAUAUUUGGAGGAACACCAGUGGCGAAGGCGGCUCACUGGCUCGAUACUGACGCUGAGGUGCGAAAGCGUGGGGAGCAAACAGGAUUAGAAACCCCGGUAGUCC
rnacentral:rRNA from 1 species